GCAAGUUCGAGGACGUCCCGCGCCGGACCCGGCAGGGGGACGGCGUGGCGACGCUCCGAGGCAAGGAAAAGUCGAAGUGGGACGAGGCUCGAGCAGGCCCGGCGUCCUUUGCGGCCCCCGGUCCCCCUGUCCGUGGUCCUCCCCCGCUUCGCUUCGUCCACAAACCCUUUCGGUGUACCAUCCCUUGUUGCUUUCCCGGGCUCCACGACGCGUCCGCGCGUCUCGCCCGGGAAUAGAUCAAAGCCAUUUGAGAAUUGUCGUCUGACACGGUGGCCCCACAGGGUCUCCGAAAAAUUGGAAAUCGUUA
rnacentral:misc_RNA from 1 species